rnacentral:rRNA from 1 species
AUGGUCAUAUAUUUUUCCGGACUAAAGGCCACAUGGAGAGCUAAGAAGAACAAUAUUUCUGCUAUCAGAAGAAGUGAUGGGUCUCUAUCAAAGGAUUUGGAGGAAAUUAAAGAUUCUCGUGGAGAAUACUGUGCAUAUAAACCGGACCUAGCUAAAGCAUACGAUCGUGUUGACUGGAAGUUCCUGGAAUUGAAAUUCUCGGUGCGCUUUAAUGGCCAGUUGUUGGAGUCUUUUCAUCCUUCACGUGGUCUGAGGCAAGGGGAUCCGUUAUCGCCGUACUUAUUCCUCUUUGUAGCUGAGGCCCUCUCGCUAUUACUCAACGAUGCAUCAUCAAGAGGGACUAUCCAAGAUUUCCGACUGAACAGACAUGCUCCAGGAAGGGAUUCUGGCCUAAAAAUUUCUGCUAAGAGGACCAGAACUAGGGUCAAAUGGGUUGCUGAAUUAUUCAUGAGUGGCUCAAGGAGAUGGGAUGAGAAUUUAAUCAGGCAUCUGUUUUACCCUCAUGAUGCGAAGGAAAUUUUAAAGUUACGUAUUCUGAAUUUGUACGAGGGUGACCUCACCGCCUGGCACCAUGAGAAAAAUGGGUUGUUUUCAGUGAAUAGUGCGUAUAGGUUGGCCCUGAAUAUUAAGGACUCGUACAUGGCAUUGGGGAACUCCAGUGUAUCCGUUAAUGGGGAAAGGAGGCCCUGGAAUAUUAUUUGGAAGGCUAACGUACCUCAGAAGAUUAGAAUAUUUGCUUGGAGGGAUGCAUCUAAUAGCCUAGCCGUACAAGUUAACAGAGUAAAACACCAUCAAGCUACCCUAGGUACAUGCUCAAUCUGUGGUGUUGAAUAUGAAUGUAUUUUUCAUGCUUUGGUAUGCUGUCCCAAGGUACGUGCGUUCCGUAUGGGUUUGAGGGAGGUGUGGAACUUGCCAGAUGAAGAUAUUUUAAACUGCUCGGGGCAGUACUGA